rnacentral:rRNA from 1 species
GAUGAACGCUGGCGGCGUGCCUAAUACAUGCAAGUCGAGCGAACGGACGAGAAGCUUGCUUCUCUGAUGUUAGCGGCGGACGGGUGAGUAACACGUGGAUAACCUACCUAUAAGACUGGGAUAACUUCGGGAAACCGGAGCUAAUACCGGAUAAUAUUUUGAACCGCAUGGUUCAAAAGUGAAAGACGGUCUUGCUGUCACUUAUAGAUGGAUCCGCGCUGCAUUAGCUAGUUGGUAAGGUAACGGCUUACCAAGGCAACGAUGCAUAGCCGACCUGAGAGGGUGAUCGGCCACACUGGAACUGAGACACGGUCCAGACUCCUACGGGAGGCAGCAGUAGGGAAUCUUCCGCAAUGGGCGAAAGCCUGACGGAGCAACGCCGCGUGAGUGAUGAAGGUCUUCGGAUCGUAAAACUCUGUUAUUAGGGAAGAACAUAUGUGUAAGUAACUGUGCACAUCUUGACGGUACCUAAUCAGAAAGCCACGGCUAACUACGUGCCAGCAGCCGCGGUAAUACGUAGGUGGCAAGCGUUAUCCGGAAUUAUUGGGCGUAAAGCGCGCGUAGGCGGUUUUUUAAGUCUGAUGUGAAAGCCCACGGCUCAACCGUGGAGGGUCAUUGGAAACUGGAAAACUUGAGUGCAGAAGAGGAAAGUGGAAUUCCAUGUGUAGCGGUGAAAUGCGCAGAGAUAUGGAGGAACACCAGUGGCGAAGGCGACUUUCUGGUCUGUAACUGACGCUGAUGUGCGAAAGCGUGGGGAUCAAACAGGAUUAGAUACCCUGGUAGUCCACGCCGUAAACGAUGAGUGCUAAGUGUUAGGGGGUUUCCGCCCCUUAGUGCUGCAGCUAACGCAUUAAGCACUCCGCCUGGGGAGUACGACCGCAAGGUUGAAACUCAAAGGAAUUGACGGGGACCCGCACAAGCGGUGGAGCAUGUGGUUUAAUUCGAAGCAACGCGAAGAACCUUACCAAAUCUUGACAUCCUUUGACAACUCUAGAGAUAGAGCCUUCCCCUUCGGGGGACAAAGUGACAGGUGGUGCAUGGUUGUCGUCAGCUCGUGUCGUGAGAUGUUGGGUUAAGCCCCGCAACGAGCGCAACCCUUAAGCUUAGUUGCCAUCAUUAAGUUGGGCACUCUAAGUUGACUGCCGGUGACAAACCGGAGGAAGGUGGGGAUGACGUCAAAUCAUCAUGCCCCUUAUGAUUUGGGCUACACACGUGCUGCAAUGGACAAUACAAAGGGCAGCGAAACCGCGAGGUCAAGCAAAUCCCAUAAAGUUGUUCUCAGUUCGGAUUGUAGUCUGCAACUCGACUACAUGAAGCUGGAAUCGCUAGUAAUCGUAGAUCAGCAUGCUACGGUGAAUACGUUCCCGGGUCU